GACGAACGCUGGCGGCGUGCUUAACACAUGCAAGUCGAACGGAAAGGCCCUUCGGGGUACUCGAGUGGCGAACGGGAGCGUAACACGUGGGCGAUCUGCCCUGCACUUUGGGAUAAGCCUGGGUACCUGGGACUAAUACCGAAUAGGACCACGCGCUUCAUGGUGUGUGGUGGAAAGCUUUUGCGGCGUGGGAUGGGCCCGCGGCCUAUCAGCUUGGUGGUGGGGUAAUGGCCUACCAAGGCGACGGCGGGUACCCGGCCCGGGGGGGGGACCGGCCACACUGGGACUGAGGUUCGGCCCAGAACCCUUCGGGGGGCAGGAGGGGGGAAAUAUGCCAAAAGGGGGGAAGCCUGGAGCAGCGACGCCGCGGGGGGGAUGGCGGCCUUCGGGGUGGAAACCUCUUUCAGUAGGGACGGAGGGGUAGGGGCGGUACCUAGAGAAGGAGGACCGGCCAACUUCGGG
rnacentral:rRNA from 1 species